ensembl:lncRNA
AUGCUUCUGCGCUGCCGGGUAAAAGUCAGCGCAACCACUGCACGCCUCCCACGGAACCCACACUUCUCCACCGCUUCCCUCGUAACGCAGCACCUUGCCUACGUCCUCCCUGCGCGCUUGCUGAUUGGCCACGACGCCCAUCCCUCAAGGCGAGGAGAGAGAGGCGGCUCCCGGAGAAGAGACUCCACACAACCAGCUCGUGUGCCCUUUCCCUGCCCCCGCCGCGGAUUCUCUCACGGCCCUGCCCGCCCCAGAAGCUCCUCCCCCUUUUGCGUCACUCACCUCCCCCGCCCGUCGGGCACCGCCCACUUUGCCUACGAAUUCGAGGUUGGCAGGGGAGGGGAGGUUUUUUUUUUUGAGGGGGAGGGGUGGGGGUUGAAGAGAGAACAACAAAAAAAAAAGCCCUCCUCAUGGCCGGCUGGCUCGUGGGCGCGUCUCCGCCCACUUCGGCGUAGCCCCGCCCCUCCUAGGCCGCCGGCCGGCGCAGCUAACUGCGGCCGUUGCCUGCGAGGCGGGGCGACGGGAGCGAGGCGGGAGGCCGCCUCCGCUUGCCUCCGCCGCCGCCACAGGGGAGACUUCCGCCGCUGGUCCCUCACCUCCCGGCAGUCUUUCGCCCUCACUCUCUCUCUCCCAUCUUUCCCUCAGGAGAGGCGACGGCUCCGUGGCGCCUGUUGUCGACCCCGCGAAAGCGCCGUCCGCCCUCUUUUAUUUCCCUGCGCCGGCCAGGAGCCGCGGAGACUCCUCCCCUUCCCUCUUUUCUCUCUCUCUCUCUGCCUUUCUCGCCUCCCUUCGCCCGCUCGCCGCCUCAGCAGCAGCGCCAGCAGCAGCGCCACCUUCCUUCCUUCCUCCUCCUUCUCUUCCCUCCCGGUUCCUGCUGCCCCCGCGAGGCACCUGCGCCCCUCCCCCUCCUCCUCAGCCGCCGCCACAGCGAGAGAGGAGGACAAGGCCGGAGUCGGCCGCGACCUCUCCCCGCGCGCGAGACCUCCCUCCUUCCCUCAAGGCCUGCUCCUAUGCCUCUGCUUGGAAGAUUGGUUAAUUAAGCUACUGUGCUGGCCAGUAAGAGCGAAUGACAAACACUAUAGGGUACUUAAGGUGAAUAUUUUAUUUCUCCCUCAAAAGUUUAUACGCUUUAAAUGCAGCAUGCGUUCAGCUGAAGGCCUGUCCAAUUAAAAAUUUCUACCUGUAAUUUUUGCAUGUCAUAUACCUCAGUGCAUAAAAACAUUUGUGUGAAAUGUCAAGCUGGCUUAAAGACUACUUCUUUGUCUUUUGAAAAAGCUUCAGUCCUCAGUAAUUUACUUUCUGUAUGUGGGAUCUCAAGAAAUACCAGAAAUCAAAAUAAUACAUUCUUAUCAAACAAUUAUACAGAUAAAUAUCAAUUAUGGAUUUUCCUUUUGCUUAGUGCUAGGGCCUCUUUGUGCAUAUCAUUUUUUUGCUCUUACAAGUUAUGGAGCUACCUUGCAUAUUUUCUGAAACUGAUGCUUUAAAAAAUUGAAGGUAUUCUGGUGAAAGUGUAGCAUGAAGUAAUCUUGAAAAGUAAUGGUUGAGUCAACUUC